rnacentral:rRNA from 1 species
CAGUCGUACCGGCGGAAAAUCAGCUUUUUGAGUGUGAUUAUGUGGAUUGUGAGGAGUUUAAUCCCCCUCAUGUUUUACGUAUUCGUGCUCUUGGUGUACUUGUCCGUGUGGUGGGUUAACAUCAAUUUCGGUCGUCAUAAAAUGGUUGGAGGAAUGGUAGCUUUGGUCUCGUAUCGAAGUGUUAUAGACUCUGGUAG